AGCAGCCGCGGUAAUUCCAGCUCCAAUAGCGUAUAUUAAAGUUGUUGCAGUUAAAAAGCUCGUAGUUGAAUUUUGGGUCUGGCCGGUUGGUCCGUUCUUGUAACGAGUACUGGUCGGUUGGGCCUCACCGCUUGGGGAAGGGUAAUGCCCUUUAUUGGGUGUUGCUCGGAGCCAAGACCUUUACCUUGAAAAAAUUAGAGUGUUUAAAGCAGGCAUAUGCCAGAAUACAUUAGCAUGGAAUAAUAGAAUAGGACAACGAUUCUAUUUUGUUGGUUUCUAGGACCGUUGUAAUGAUUAAUAGGGAUAGUUGGGGGCAUUAGUAUUCAAUUGUCAGAGGUGAAAUUCUUGGAUUUAUUGAAGACUAACUACUGCGAAAGCAUUUGCCAAGGAUGUUUUCAUU
rnacentral:rRNA from 1 species